rnacentral:lncRNA from 1 species
UAUCAGAAAAUGGACUAAGAUCACACUAUUGGUCUAGAUUCCAGUCCAUUCCGAAGCUGGUGUCACUGGGCCCAACUGGGAACAGUGGAAGAACUGAAGGAGGAAAGGUAGAGGUGGAUGGAUGUGGGGCUGAGGGGAGGAGGUUCCUAUAGCAACACUGAGCAAUAUCUAUUUAUGGUGUGCGAGUUCUUGACUGUGUAUUCAACAAGAAAUGAUUUAUUAACACUUCCAAUAAGGCAGACAGUGGAGAAAAGAAAAAUGAACAAGAUCCAGCACUGGCCCCUACAGAGCUCAAGGUCUGGAGGAGAGCCUGUCAUACCAACAGGCUGUGGUAACCCAGGAUGGUCAGACCAAGGUGGAGGGGAACACAGAAGUAGACCUGGAGAAGAGGCAAUAACUCAGUUAGGAAAUGGAGCAUGGAAAAGUGGACCAGAUUAUCCGAUCAGUGAAAUGAUAUUGGAAUUGCAAGAAUGGGGCUGGAAGAAGGACCCUGGAUAUUCGGGGGUGGGACCAUCUCAUGACUGAAAAUGUGGAGCAGAAUGUUGAUCCAAGGGUACCUCAAAGGUACAGAGAAGAAGGAAAAUGCUCUGAAGAUAGGGGCUGUCUUUGUUUUUUUCCCAUCCUUAGUUCCUGGGACAGUGG